rnacentral:rRNA from 1 species
UACGUAGGUGGCAAGCGUUAUCCGGAUUUAUUGGGCGUAAAGCGAGCGCAGGCGGUUGCUUAGGUCUGAUGUGAAAGCCUUCGGCUUAACCGGAGUAGUGCAUUGGAAACUGGGAGACUUGAGUGCAGAAGAGGAGAGUGGAACUCCAUGUGUAGCGGUGAAAUGCGUAGAUAUAUGGAAGAACACCAGUGGCGAAAGCGGCUCUCUGGUCUGCAACUGACGCUGAGGCUCGAAAGCAUGGGUAGCGAACAGG